rnacentral:tRNA from 1 species
GCGUCAGUGGUGGAACGGUAGACACGCCAGCUUGAGGGGCUGGUGGGCAUUAGCCCGUGGAGGUUCAAAUCCUCUCUGACGCACCA